rnacentral:rRNA from 1 species
UACGAAGGGGACUAGCGUUGUUCGGAAUCACUGGGCGUAAAGCGCACGUAGGCGGAUAUGUCAGUCAGGGGUGAAAUCCCGGGGCUUAACCUCGGAACUGCCUUUGAUACAGCAUAUCUUGAGUCCGAUAGAGGUGGGUGGAAUUCCUAGUGUAGAGGUGAAAUUCGUAGAUAUUAGGAAGAACACCGGUGGCGAAGGCGGCCCACUGGAUCGGUACUGACGCUGAGGUGCGAAAGCGUGGGGAGCAACCAGG